CUUUCAGGUUAUGACGGGAUGGUCACUUUGUUGUUUAAAAGUAAGUCUAAAUUGGAGAUAUUCAGCUUUCGAGAACGCUGGAAGUCGUGUAAAGAGAAAUUUGCCCUCUAUGAAAGUGUAGUCAUGAUUGAAUUUCUGUUCUCUCUCCACAGUGCUGGUGCUACUGAGAGAUUGCUGUUUGACUGUUAAAAGGACCUUUGAUCUCAGCAUAAGAAACUGCGAGCUAAAUAAGAAAUGGUUCCACUGAUCUAUACGGGUUUCAUAUGCAACACCUUCAGACGGUUUAAGACAACACAGUUUCCACGUAGACAACUAAGCUGGGAUCACUCACUUGCAGACAGGAAUUGAAGCUCCAGCCCAUCGGAUGAAGAAAAUUGUACUCGUUAAAAAAUCACAAGAAUUUUUUAACAGAGGUGAUUGUUGUUGUUGUUAGGCCAGGAGGGCUGUUCAAUUGCUCUUAAAUUGCUGUGCCAUGAUAUUCCUCGUACUGACUUUAUAAAUAACAGCAUUAGUCAAUUAUUGUUGGCAAUAUUCAAGAGGAAUUUUCUUUAGUAUGGUGGCCGGUGAAUGUAAGGGCUUAGCUUUCAUUGAAAAAGGGAAAAUGAAAAUAUAUCACUUUGGCCUUAAAGAAAAUAACAAUUGUUGUUAAGGUAAAAAAAAAAUACUCUGUAGAAUGUAUCAAUUGUACAUUGUAUCUGGUUCAUAGUAUCAGUGGAUUUUGACUUUCAUUUAAUAAGUUUUCAUUAUUUUUUUACAGGAAACUUAAUGUGUACAAACCUUUUCCUCCGUAGGGGGGAAUAGUUUCGCCAGUGCACCUCACGCCAUGCUCUGUAGGCAUUGCUUUAUUAGGUUCUUUGUGGCGUACCUUCGACCCGUAGUUGUAACCCCUUUCAUUCCUUUUACUGUACUCCGUUCAUAAUCUCUUGAUUCCAUCUUACAUGUAUGUAUGUAUGUAUGUAUGUAUGCAU